UGCAGUCGAGCGGUAACAGGGGGUGCUUGCACCCCGCUGACGAGCGGCGGACGGGUGAGUAAUGCAUAGGAAUCUGCCCAGUAGUGGGGGAUAGCCCGGGGAAACCCGGAUUAAUACCGCAUACGCCCUUUGGGGGAAAGCAGGGGAUCUUCGGACCUUGCGCUAUUGGAUGAGCCUAUGUCGGAUUAGCUAGUUGGUGGGGUAAAGGCCUACCAAGGCGACGAUCCGUAGCUGGUCUGAGAGGAUGAUCAGCCACAUCGGGACUGAGACACGGCCCGAACUCCUACGGGAGGCAGCAGUGGGGAAUAUUGGACAAUGGGGGCAACCCUGAUCCAGCCAUGCCGCGUGUGUGAAGAAGGCUUUCGGGUUGUAAAGCACUUUCAGUGAGGAGGAAAACCUUCUGGUUAAUACCCAUGAGGCUUGACGUUACUCACAGAAGAAGCACCGGCUAACUCCGUGCCAGCAGCCGCGGUAAUACGGAGGGUGCAAGCGUUAAUCGGAAUUACUGGGCGUAAAGCGCGCGUAGGUGGUUUGAUAAGCGAGAUGUGAAAGCCCCGGGCUUAACCUGGGAACGGCAUUUCGAACUGUCAGGCUAGAGUGUGGUA
rnacentral:rRNA from 1 species